GUGUCAGCAGCCGCGGUAAGACGAAGGGGGCUAGCGUUGUUCGGAAUUACUGGGCGUAAAGGGCGCGUAGGCGGUCUUGUCAGUCAGGCGUGAAAGCCCUGGGCUCAACCUGGGAGGUGCGCUUGAUACUGCAAGGCUUGAGUGCAGGAGAGGAUGGUGGAAUUCCCAGUGUAGAGGUGAAAUUCGUAGAUAUUGGGAAGAACACCGGUGGCGAAGGCGGCCAUCUGGACUGCAACUGACGCUGAGGCGCGAAAGCGUGGGGAGCAAACAGGAUUAGAAACCCUGGUAGUCC
rnacentral:rRNA from 1 species